rnacentral:rRNA from 1 species
UACGUAGGGACCAAGCGUUGUUCGGAUUUACUGGGCGGAAAGGGCGCGUAGGCGGCGUGGUAAGUCACUUGUGAAAUCUCUGAGCUUAACUCAGAACGGCCAAGUGAUACUGCUGUGCUAGAGUGCAGAAGGGGCAAUCGGAAUUCUUGGUGUAGCGGUGAAAUGCGUAGAUAUCAAGAGGAACACCUGAGGUGAAGACGGGUUGCUGGGCUGACACUGACGCUGAGGCGCGAAAGCCAGGGGAGCAAACGGG